rnacentral:rRNA from 1 species
AGAGUUUGAUCAUGGCUCAGAACGAACGUUGGCGGCGUGGAUUAGGCAUGCAAGUCGAGCGAGGACAGGGGGCAACUCCUGAGCCGAGCGGCGAAAGGGGCAGUAAGGCGUGGCUAACCUACCCUGGGGACUGGGAUAGUCUCCCUAACGGGAGGGUAAUACCGGGCGAUGUGUCGAGGGGGCCUCCCCAUGACACCAAAUGAAUUUCGCCCUGGGAGGGGGUCACGUGGUAUUAGCUAGUUGGUGAGGUAACGGCUCACCAAGGCGAAGAUGCCUAGCUGGUGUGAGAGCAUGACCAGCGCCACUGGCACUGAGACACUGGCCAGACACCUACGGGUGGCUGCAGUCGAGGAUCUUCGGCAAUGGGCGCAAGCCUGACCGAGCGACGCCGCGUGUGCGAUGAAGGCCUUCGGGUUGUAAAGCACUGUCGAGGGGGAGGAAAGCCCGCAAGGGUCUGACCUAUCCCUGGAGGAAGGACGGGCUAAGUUCGUGCCAGCAGCCGCGGUAAGACGAACCGUCCUAACGUUGUUCGGAUUCACUGGGCUUAAAGGGCGCGUAGGCGGGUGAGCAAGUCCGGGGUGAAAUCUUUCGGCUUAACCGGAAAACGGCCUUGGAUACUGCUUGUCUAGAGGGAGGUAGGGGUCUGCGGAACUUCCGGUGGAGCGGUGAAAUGCGUUGAUAUCGGAAGGAACGCCGGUGGCGAAAGCGGCGGACUGGACCUCUUCUGACGCUGAGGCGCGAAAGCCAGGGGAGCGAACGGGAUUAGAUACCCCGGUAGUCCUGGCCCUAAACGAUGGGUACUAGGUUGUGGACUUAACAUGGGUUCACAGCCGAAGCAAAAGUGGUAAGUACCCCGCCUGGGGAGUAUGGUCGCAAGGCUGAAACUCAAUGAAUUGACGG